rnacentral:rRNA from 1 species
AGCGAACGCUGGCGGCGUGCCUAACACAUGCAAGUCGAGCGAAGGCAUGAGUGUAGCAAUACACUUAUGUACUUAGCGGCGGACGGGUGAGUAACACGUGGAUAAUCUGCCCUGAGGACCGGGACAACUCUGGGGAAACGGGAGCUAAUACCGGAUGUGACCACGAUGCUUGAGGGCAUUGGGGUAAAAGGGCGGCCUGCAAGGGCUGUUGCUUCGGGAUGAGUCACGACCCAUCAGGUAGUUGGGGGGUAAGAGCCACCAAGCCGAAGACGGGUAGCUGGUCUAAGAGGAUGAUCAGCCACACGGGAACUG